CAGUAGCCGCGGUAAUACGUAGGGUGCGAGCGUUGUCCGGAAUUAUUGGGCGUAAAGAGCUUGUAGGCGGUCUGUCGCGUCUGCUGCGAAAACCCGAGGCUCAACCUCGGGCCUGCAGUGGGUACGGGCAGACUAGAGUGCGGUAGGGGAGAACGGAACUCCUAGUGUAGCGGUGGAAUGCGCAGAUAUCAGGAAGAACACCGAUGGCGAAGGCAGUUCUCUGGGCCGUAACUGACGCUGAGAAGCGAAAGCGUGGGGAGCGAACAGGAUUAGAUACCCCGGUAGUCCCUGUCUCUUAUAC
rnacentral:rRNA from 1 species